UAGUUUUCAAUGAGCUCUUUCAGAGCUCAUAUGGAAAGUUUGGAGAUUUAUUUUUAAAUAUUAUAAUUAGUUGUAAUUUAAUCUGUCCCCUAAGCAAAUGCCUUGAAAUGCAUCUGUGGUAUUCCUCUCAUUUCCCAUGAUUUAUCUUAUCCCAGGAUAUGCCAGGAUCAGGUAUGGAAAUGUUACCUGCAGACCCCUCUUCAUUAGGCAGCUGCUCACUUCACAGUCUACUGUGACUUUAGAUGUUGCUACAAAUCAAUAUAUUCUUAAUUUUUAUACUCUGUCUUUUCCAGCACAGGCUCCCUCCACUCUGUUGUUCCAUUUAUCUCUGUUGAUCCUGUGUUGGAGGCACAACACAGAGACCCCAGGAGAUGGCCAACAGCAGCAGGAAUUGCCCUGAGGGGCUUGUUUUGGCUGGGAACUGGGAUCAGCACAGCCAGGGAAUCACAUUAAAUAAAUAUAUAGCAAGCUGCAGUGUCACAACAAGUAGAUGUACAAUUACGAAGACAAAAUACCCCAAGGAAAUCAACACAAGGCUUAUUAAUAUCCAGGCCUGCAGAAGACAACUGUCAGACAAUUGGUCAACAAGCUCGAGAUCAGCUGAGACAGACGGUGUGGAUUGAUUGAAAUCAGCCAAGUAACUGCUUUUAAUCGUGAUUUAAAUCAAAAAGUGAGAAACCUUGGUUUAACAAAUUGAUUUUUAAAUUUGCUUUGCAUUUGUGCUUUUUCAGUUUCCUAAAUAAAUGUCUGUCCCCUUCGGGGGUGUCCUGGAACCAAAAUUUUCUUUGUAACACGCUGGGGCUAAAAACACCCCACGGUUUCCACUUAUGUAUGUUAUGAACAUACUUUUAUUCAGAUUUCAUUUUUAUAGAAAAAACACUUCUCUGCUGUAUUUUUAUUCCUUUUUUUUUUUUUUUUGUUGCCUGUGUUUUACACUUCACAGCAUCAGGCUACAACUGGAGGUGACUGGAAGGCAGCCAAGGGACACUUGGGUGGUCUUUAGGGCCCCUUCCAAGCCAAACUCUUCUGUAACUCUAUGAAACUGUGAGUAAUGGCAGGGAGGAAGCACAGGUGGACCCCUGUGAGCACCCACAAAUUAUUAAUUUAUCCCCCACGUGGUUACUGCUGUGGAUUUCCACCAAAGCACUGGCACUUCUGAGAAGGUCCUUCUGUCAGAGCUGGUGCUGGGGUCGGUCAGGAUGGGUAUGACUGGUUUUGAGGCACCUGGCUUUGUCUGGGGUGGGUGUCCAUGGUCGUAUUUGCCGUUGGAUAGUCACAGUGGUGAACAGGAAGCUGAGCUUCUGGUGUGGCCCUGUAACUGUGGGGGUUAGAAUUCAAAACUCAUUCUGAUUCUGAAUCACCUGAUUCUCCUCCAGCAGGUCCUCUGCUCGCUCUCCCGUGGCUGUUUGAGGUUCCCUCUCAGCUGGUGUUGCUCACUGAGGACCAAUCCAAAUGCCAUCCCAACAGGUGUGAAUGGAUCCUGGUGUCAGGAGCCCUCACUUAUUUCCUAAAAGGCUGAUCAAUACUUGAGCCAGAGUUUUGCUGCUGGCAAAGGUUAAGCUGUGUGCUUCCCCUGCAGAUAAAAACAGAACAUUAUGUCUUCUUCGAACUCACUCAGAAUUGCAAAUCACCCACUCCUGGAAGGGAGAGACGGUGAGAUACCUGUAAGCAGCUUUGCCAGCACCAGGCAGGGCUGGUUUCCAGCAGGAACAAGGUUCGUACCAGCCAAGGUUCCUCCCCAUCUGCCUGAGCUGCAUCCCAGAGUUUCCCUUUGCUAGUGUGAGGAGAGGAUGGAGCUCAGCUUUCUCCAAGACCCUGAGCCUUGGCAGUAUUUGAGCUGUGGAGAGGUGAUGCUCAGGAGAAGGAAAUCAGAGCAGAGCAAAUAGAGCUGUAUGUGCAGCUCUGAGGGAGCACGGAGCGCUGCUCCACGAGCAGUGCUGGAGCUCCUUCCUGUGGUGGCAGUGAUGAGUUACUCACUGUGUGCCACCAGCCUGGCGUCGGGAGAUCAGCCUGAGCACCCAUCUGCCCGAUGAUCCACCCUCCAUCUCCUCCAGCCAGGAUAUUCCCAGGAUCACAGGAGCCCUGUCGUGCCUCGUGGCCGGUGGGUGCGGGGCAGGCUGACCUGCUGGGCACUGUCUGCUCCUGGAGAGUCCGGAGGGGAGUGGUCAUUCCAACCAGCUCUGGGCCAGCUCUAUGGUCACUCAUGGGAUAUUCCAUAUAUAAUGCUAUUUUCUUACUGCAGGUGCAUGUGUUUUCCCAGUCAGGAAUGGUCAAAUUGGUGUUGGGAAUGGAAAAACGGAGUAAGGAGGUGAUAAUGCAGCAUCUGCACCACAGGUAUUCCUGGCCUCAAUACAGGCAGCAGCAAGGAAUUUGGGGGUCAGACAGCUCUGGGGAGCCCCUGUUCAGCCCUGCCAGUCCCCAAGAAACCCCUGAUCAUGGCAGGUGAUCGGCCAAGCAGUGGGUCCAUCCUGCUCUCCUGGCCAUGGGCACAGCAGCAGCAGUUUGCAAGUGGUGCCUGCAGAUCUUCAAAAGAACAGAAUUUGGCCCUUAAUGUUCUUUUGAUGUGUUUUUUGUAUGCAAAUAAGGUUUAAUUUCUGAACUUUGAACAGUUUGACGAUGAGUUUAUUAGAGUGUUGUGUUAUUAAGUUUAUACCCCUGGGGUCAGUGCAAGGCAGUCAGAAACCGCAGCGAACAUUAUUUAUAUUGUUAAACAAAGUCAAGGAAUUUCAGGCAGCUGGUAUUCACCACCAAAGCAGACAAUCAAAACAAAGCCAUAUUUGUAAUCAUACUCAGUAGUCUUUUUAUGUGGAGUAAUUACUAAAAUAAUCGAAAGACAUGGAUCAGAUUAUUAAUGACAGCGAUAGCCUGGAAUACACAUCCCUACCUUGCAGAGAGCAGACGGGGAAGUGGGAAAUGUAAUGAAUAGCCCUGGGGUUCUGCAAUGCCAGAGCUCACACUUGGAAAUCUGUUGUCUCAGCUGAUGAGCUCUGAGGGGACCAUUAUCAGCCCUGCUGCUGGUUGGGCUCCGGAUGGUGAUUUUGAACCUGGUGCUUUUCUAUCCAAUGAACUGGUUUUGCUCUAAAGAAACUAAAUAUGACUUAUUAAUGAAUUCUUUUUAAUAUGAUCAUUUAUAUGCAUAUAGCUGGUGAAAUUAAAAAUAAGGUAGAAAACAUCCAGGCUAAUUUGCCUGUAUUGACACAGGAAUGGGACACUGAGUGGGGAUACAAGUGGGAGCCUGCACAGGCUUCCCUGGCUCUGGGUUGUGAGCUGGCUUCAGUGCCAGGUUGGACGGGGCUUGGAGCAACUUGGUCUAGUGGAAG